rnacentral:sRNA from 1 species
UUUUCUUUAUCUAUUU